UUUUUUUUUUUUUUUUUGAGAAUGUUCAAGUCCUUAUAUUAAUCAUAUGAUAGUUAUGACAAAGUGAUUGAAAGUCUUGAUAUGAAAAAUACAAUAAAAUAGUAAUGACUUGUUUUUCUCUAAUAAAAAAGACAAAUAAUGUACAUAUUAUCCAUACUAUAUUUUUGGUUGGAUAUUUAGUAUUUUUUGGUUAAGACUUCUUUUUACUAUUUUUUAGCAAAUAAUCUCAUAUAGUUAUAGAUUCGGAGGGCCAACAAUUUGAGUAGAGUGUAAAUUUAAAGGUACUAAAAUAGGCUUGCUGUAGAUUCAAAUCAAGUUCAUGAUUUUUCAUCUCUAAUUCUAACCACUUUGCCAAUUAGAUAUUCAAUUACUGGAAUAAUAUUAUUCCAAUAAGCUUGCUAUUUUAAUAGAAAAAUUGAGUUCCAGUAUUUUAAUAGCAUUUCUUUUGUAGAGAGUCUCUCAUACAUAAAGGGAUGCGUGUUGCUAGGUUUUGGUCUCUCCUUUUCAUUUUUAAACGUAUACUAUCAAUGUGCUACUAUAUUAUAAUUUAGGGUUAAUGCCGUGAAAAACUAUGAACUUUGGUGCGAUUUUCAAACUUUCCAUGAACUUAUUUUUUUUAUUAAUUUUUUAUAAAACUUAUAUAUAUAUAUAUAGUAGGAAUUGUGAAAAAGUAGUAAUAAUUUAUUGUGUUGUUUUAAUUAAUGUUAUUUGAGUAGUGAGAAUUGUCUUAAAAGGGGAGUAUUUUUUAAGUGGUGGGGUAUUGUCCCAAAAUAGGAAAAGUAGGAAGUACUUUCGUGGACGUCCCGAAAUAGAAAAAUAGGAAGUUCUUUCGUGGACGGAGGGAGUAUAAAUUUAGGGUUAAUGCCGUGAAAAACCAUGAACUUUGGUGCGAUUUCCAUGAACUAUUUUUUUUUAUAAAAUUUUUUAGAAAAUUAUAUAUAUAUAUAUAUAUAUAUAUAUAUAUAUAAGUUUUAUAAAAAAUUUUAUAAAAAAAAAUAGUUCAUGGAAAUCGCACCAAAGUUCAUGGUUUUUCACGGCAUUAACCCUAAAUUAUACUCCCUCCGUCCACGAAAGAACUUCCUAUUUUUCUAUUUCGGGACGUCCACGAAAGAACUUCCUACUUUUUCCUAUUUUGGGACAAUACCCCACCACUUAAAAAAUACUCCCCUUUUAAGACAAUUCUCACUACUCAAAUAACAUUAAUUAAAACAACACAAUAAAUUAUUACUACUUUUUCACAAUUCCCAAUACACUUUACAACUUUUUCUCUACUCUCAAUACACUAUACAACAUUUUAUUAAAACCCGUGCCACUCCCUCCUAGGAAGUUCUUUCAUGGACGGAGGGAGUAUAAUAUAGUAGCACAUUGAUAGUAUACGUUUAAAAAUGAAAAGGAGAGACCAAAACCUAGCAACACGCAUCCCUUUAUGUAUGAGAGACUCUCUACAAAAGAAAUGCUAUUAAAAUACUGGAACUCAAUUUUUCUAUUAAAAUAGCAAGCUUAUUGGAAUAAUAUUAUUCCAGUAAUUGAAUAUCUAAUUGGCAAAGUGGUUAGAAUUAGAGAUGAAAAAUCAUGAACUUGAUUUGAAUCUACAGCAAGCCUAUUUUAGUACCCUUUAAAUUUACACUCUACUCAAAUUGUUGGCCCUCCGAAUCUAUAACUAUAUGAGAUUAUUUGCUAAAAAAUACUAGUAAAAAGAAGUCUUAACCAAAAAAUACUAAAUAUCCAACCAAAAAUAUAGUAUGGAUAAUAUGUACAUUAUUUGUCUUUUUUAUUAGAGAAAAACAAGUCAUUACUAUUUUAUUGUAUUUUUCAUUAUCAAGACUUUCAAUCACUUUGUCAUAACUAUCAUAUGAUUUAAUAUAAGGACUUGAACAUUUACUAACAAAAAAAAAAAAAAAAAAAAAAAAAACAUAAGGACUUGUAACAUUUCAUUUGACGAGUCGAGAUUCAUUACAUAAAAUCUAUAUUCCGAUCCAAGCUCCCCUAUGAUUUUUCUUUAUUUUUUAAAUAAAAUAAAUUAAUUAAAAGAGCCUCCCCUAUGAUUACUAAUAUUGGAGCAUAACAAACAGAAAAAAUAUACCUCGGAUACUGAGGGAGAAAGGGCCAUUGUUAUGUUUUCGAAAUUAAUUAAUUAAUUAAUACUUUCUCCGUCCACGAAAGAAUUUCCUAUCUUUCAUUUUUGGGACGUUCACAAAAGAACUUCCUACCUAUUUUUGGACUAUAUCCCACCACUUAUAAUCCUCUUACUUUUCACUUUUCACAACUCUCAAUAUUAAUUAUAACACUUUUUUACCACUCACAAUACACUCAACUACCUUUUAUCCACUCUCAAUGCAUCAACAAUAUUUUUUCUUAAAACUUGUGCCACUCCCUUUAGGAAGUUCUUUCAUGGACAGAGGGAGCAUGAAUUUAAUCCGACCGGCUUUAGUAGUGGGUCAAUGAUCAUUGUCAAUAUUGGGAAUCCGCAUAUGCACUCUUCCCUUUCUAAGCUUUCUUUUUUAACUUUAAUUUAUUUAUUCUGCUUUCAAGUUGAUUGUAAAUUCUGACGUGAGUUGUCCGAGUCCGAAGCAGACAGAAAAUUGCAAAACAUUGUCCUAAUUAAAAUACUUUAAAAUCAAACAAUUAAAUUCCAGGUGUCGACUGAAUGUAUUAUUUCUAAGGAAAUAAAGAUGCGAUUGUAAUAUGUUUCAUUUACCGUUGUUUUUAGAUGCAGAAAUUUAAAGAUAAAACAUCGUGUCAUACUUUUCUAGGAAUAUUGCAUCAUUUCUAAAAGAAGAUCUUAUGAUACUUUAUUUGAAAGAGCCGUCUUGGGUUUAGUAAGUCAAGUUGGUAGCAAUGCUAGCCUUUUCCUACUAAAAAAAGUUGAGGUUAUAAGGGCAUCCGGGACUGGGCUCACCGAGCAGGCGCACACCCGACUCAGCAAAACCGCAUUAGUACAUGCUGUCAAUGUUGAAUAGCACCGCACCAAAAUUCUACAAUUUGGUCGAUUUUUGCGUGCGGUUCAAUUUCUGCACACCUCUAUUUCGUAUACUCUACAAAUAUGAUUGCAAGCCUAGUGAGCUAUAUGAGAAUUAGGUCCCAACUUUGCAAUAGAGAAACUCGCAACACUCUGUUGCAUGACUUGAUCGAGUAUAUAAGGCAAAAAUUCGGCGAUCAUAAGUAAACACAUAAUAUCAAUUGUUUAUUUUCAAUUUUAGUUUGUCGUAAUUUGGAUUUUUAUCAGUUUGUUAUUUUUUCUCGUUUUCAAUUUUUUUUGCAAUAUUUCAAUUUUAUAUUUAAUAUUACUAUAAUUAUUAUGAUUAAAAUAAAAAAAUACAUACAUACAUAUAUAUAUAUAUAUAAUUAUUUGGUUGGAUGAUUGGAGUUGUUAAUAGGUAAACUAACCAAAAAUAGAGGUGAUUGUGUUGAGAUGAAUAUUACUAAUGUAGAAAAAAGAAAAAUAAUUAAAUAUUAAAAAUAUUGGAGGAUUGGUGGUUGUUGAUUAACAUAAUGUUAUAGUUGUAAUCUUAUCAAGAGAAUACUCAAAUUAUGAAACUGUUUGUGUUAUGAAAAGGACGCUAUGUAUGCAUGUAGUCUGUGUUAAGAGAUAACAAGAAUGCAACGGCUACUUCGAGUGAGCCAAACUUCUAGAGAAGAUAGAGAGAAGCAGGUUUCUUUUCAUUAAUUGCAUAACUGAUUCAUACAAAACAUCCUGCUACUUAUUCAUCAAACUACUACUGACUCUGCUCAAGCUGUCCUUAUUUUCUAACAGAAAAUGUGGGGACCAAAUUCCACGUGUUCCCUUUAAUUCAGCACAUAAUCUUCAAAGCGAGCUGGCAUCUUUGUAGCCCUAGUGGGCCGAUUAUUCUCAUCUGGAUCGUGGGUGUUUUGGGCUUCUUCCUCUUGCUGCUCCCCUGGCCCAACUGGUAGGAGUUCUCGAGUUGUAUCACUCCCCACUCCUUCUAAAGAGACCUUGUCCUCAAGGUCAAAGCUAGGAUAGGUCCGCUGAACUUCCUCGAUUGAUUCCCAUGUUGCACACUCCGGAGGUUCGCCUUGCCACUGCACCAAGACUUCCUGUUGGGGACCAGCUGGAGUAAGACCCCGCGCUGGCCGCAGAUGGCGAGUGGCGCCGGCCUCAGGCAAGAAUCUAAUGAAUCAUUUGGAAUGGAGCAAAUUGGGAUUGUGGCUUCUCCUUUAAAUGGGCGCUAGUUUUGAGACAUGGAAGACAGGGUGUAUGCGGCUUCCGUGAGGGAGGUCCAGACGAUAGGCUACUUGACCAAUCCUUGCGGCGAUUGUGAAUGGACCAUAAUACCUUUGGGCUAGUUUUGGGGGCUGGCGGGUGCGAAUAGAUGUCUGACGGUGAGGUUGCAGCCGCACCAAUACUUUGUCUCCCACUUGAAAUUCCAGAUUGCGGCGACGACGGUUUGCCUGUUGCUCCAUGCGAAGUUGAGAUUGGCGCAAGGUAUCCUUGAGUUGUUGGAGUAAAGUGUCUCUCUCUUGCAAAAGCUCAUCUAGAGCUUGAAUGUGAGUGGAUCCGGCAGUGUACUUGGGGAUCAUUUGGGCUCGCCGACCAUAUAAAGCUUCGAAUAGAGUCNAUAAAACUUUUGUUCAUAACAAAUAAGACUUGUCAUAGUAGAAAAAGUGAAUAGUACUUAUUCUUAUAGUAUAUAAAAUGACAUUAGUUAUAAAAAAUAUGACUUUUGGUCAUGUCUUAUACUCCCUCCGUCCCAUAAGCUUAGGCUGAUUGGGAUUUUCACAAAGAUUAAGAAAAAUCAUUGGAAAUGAAAAUAUACAAGUAAAUUCUCUAGUAUGCCCAUAUUUAUUAUUUAAUGAUGUAUUAAAGUGUGAGUAAAUUAAAGAAUUAAAUAGGGAUAUAAUAGUAAAUGAGUAAAAAAACAUUACUUUUUAUGGAAACAAUCCUAUAUAAAUGGGACAUUCAAAAAAGAAAAACAAGUCUAAGCUUAUGGGACAGAGGGAGUACUAUAUUUCGAGAUGAGACAUUUUAAUAGGUACGACCGUACGAGACGUACGUUGAUCCAAAAUGUUGGCAUCGGAACUUUCUAAAAACCUCGCCACUACCAUUUGAAAGUCACAUUAGAUAUGUUUAUAUAUAUAUAUAAUCAUAAUUGUACAUUACAAUAAUAUAUGAAUUAAUCAAAUAAUUAUGCUAUUACAAGCUAAUAUCCAAGCAACAUAGAUCCAAACAAAAUACAAUCAGCACACCAUCGGUAAUUAAAAGUACUUAAACCAAUAACCUCUUAAAAAAGAGAGUUUUUUGAUGUCUCAAUUUUGACACUUAGACAAGCCUACUCAACGUCAUUAGUCGAGUAUAACAUGAAAAAUUGUCAUAAUUUGCUAUUACUAUUCACUUUUCAGAUUCUAUAUUAUUUUGAGGGGAAUCUAGGGAUAAUUACUAGUGUAACAAUUAUGAAAAUUAAUUUGAGAUUGUCUCGAGUACAUCAUAUCAAUAAUCAUAGCACUCAUGAACUUUCAUGUGACAUUUUUUUUGUGCGUGACUGCGCGAAUUAAAUAACCAUAUGAGAGAAAAAAAAAAAAAAAAAACCUAAUCGCUCACCACGUCUUUUCUAAUAUCAUCUUAAUAUUUAGUGUUUUUUCUUAGAAAAAUAUAAGUAAAUAAACGGAAGGUUAAUAUAUUGUAGUAUUUUAUAUAUUUAUUUAAUAUUUAUUCAAUAACAAUAAUCCCCACGGCCCGCGGGCAUUAUAGUUCUCCAUCAAUUUCUCAAGUAAUUGAUCAUUACUUCUUUUCCCUUUGCACAUUUUGAACUUUGAAGUAAAAUAUAUAUAAUUAAUAAUUUAUUUGUCCUAAACUUAGGGGGUAAACAAACUAAGCCGCUCGCGAACUAUUCGGAGCUCGGCUCGAAAAAAGUUCGUUCAAGUUCAUUUAGAGAAGCUCGAUAAAUAAACAAACCAAACUUGAGCUUAGUAGUAUUCGGCUCGAUCGUUAGCUCGUGAACAUGUUCGUCAAGUGAUUCAACUUGAAAAAUAUAAAUUAUUAGUAUAUACAACUUAUAUUUAUCCACUAAAAUUAAUAAUAAUUGUAUUAAAUCUCUUAUUAAUUUUAUUUGUCAUAAGAAAAUAAUUAAUAUAUUUAUUAUUUUAAAUAAAAUAAUUUAUUUUUAAAAUAAAAUAAUCAAUAUUUUGAAUAUAAAUAUAAAUUUAGAAAGUUCGUAUAGGCUCGAUUAGGCUCGUGAGCCGCUCGCGAGCCUCAAAAUAUUCGGUAAGUAAAGUUCGAGAUUCGAUUCGAUACUAAACAAAUCAAACUUGAGCACACCACUAUUCGGUUCGGCUCGGUUCGAUUACACCCCUACCUAAACUACUAAAGCAAUGAUGAGGUUCAAGAUCACAACUUCCUUAUCUUUUUCAUAAAAAUGUAACUAGGGUUUCAAAUCUUCAUUGGAUUCAAUCGAGUCCUUUUGAACUUUACACUAUAUCCUUUUAUUAAUUAGUUCCCAAAUUUUUAUCUAAUUGCUAUUGAGUCCCAAACUUUUAUAGUAUUAUAUGCACAUCCUCAAAGAAAUAUAUCCACGAAUGGCCAAUUAAAUUAGUAUACAACAUAGAAUUCAAUGCUCAACAUAGUACAAAUUUAGUUCAAAUACCUUAAUUACUAAGAAUGUGGAAUUCAGGAAACAACAAGGAUUAUAGCUUUGCUUAACGAAGAGUUGAGAAUAAGUUCUUAAAAUGGAGUGAUUUACACUUAAAGCACACAAGAAGGGCAUAUCCGUCUUUCCAAGUGGUUGGUAAGUGAAAAAAAGAUGUCGCCACCACCAAAUUAAAGCAAAAUAAAGGGUCUCACUUUUGCAUACCAACUUUGAAUUGCUUUAUACAAAGAUAAGUGGAGAGCCCAUAUCUCUUAGGACAAAGGAAUUAAGAAAAUGCUUAUCAUUCAAUCUCCAAAUCCAAAUCCAAUUCCAAUACAAACAUUUGCUACACUUUUCUAUAAUCUAUCUUCCUCUCUCUUCCUUAUCUUCAUCUUCUUCCACUUCACCUCCAUUUUUCUUGCCAAAUUGUUCAUCUUCUUCGGCGGCAAUCCCUUCUUCCAAAGGUAAUUAACUACACAUGCAUUUUCUAAUUAAAUCCGAGUUGAAAUAUAUUGAAUUGUUAAUUAAAUUGCACGCAUACGUUUCUCGUGAAGGAAUCAAGACGGAUACGAAUUUGCCACCUUCUCCGACGAGGAAGUUGAAGAAGAGAAUGACGACUACUACGCCACCGCCGUUAAGCAGGUUGACGGCGCUGCCGCUGCAUUCGUGAAUCCGCAUGAGCCGUUCGAUCAAGAUGUUUUGGUCGACGAUGGUGAUAGUGAUGAAAGUGGCUACGCGACGCCGCCUUCAGAAAAUUAUAACUAUGAUGAUGAUGAUGAUGACGACGAGAUGAUGAUGAUGAUGAUGAUGAUGAAGAAGAGAUUCUUGCAAGAGAUACUGAUUCAUCGUACGAUUCCGAAACAAACGAAACCGGCCCCACUACCAGAUUUAGAGAAACUAGCUUCGCGCCUACCAAUAACGUCGACAUUAAUCAUAUUCAUCAAGGUCCCGUCAUUUUUUAUUUGCGUUACAUGUUAGUAUUCAAUAUAUGCGGAAUAUAUAAUAAUUAAAUUGUGAUUUAUAUAUAUAAUGGUGCAGCUCCGGCGGCGGCGAAAAUCGAGAUGAGUUUGAGAAAAGAAGAGAAAUAUCUGGUGUUCCAAUCCGAGGGCAAGAAGCUAGUGAGAGAAGACGAUGAGAGAGAGAUGUUCGGCGACAGCUUCAACAUGGGAUCGACGUCGAAAGACUCAUCAGAGUGGCGGAGCUCCAUCAACUGCCGCGACUCCGCCACCGAAGAUCCUUUCUCGUCGUCGUCCAGGCGAAGCUGCCCCAAGUGGGAAUCCUACGCCGUUUUCCAGAAAUACGACGAAGAAAUGCUGUUUCUCGACAGAAUCUCCGCCCAAAAACUCUCCGAAACAGGUCAAUUAUUUUUUUAUUUUGAAUUGAAAAACAACAUCUUAAAUAUUGAUUCAAAUUGCAGAGUCGUUGAGGUCGAUACAGGCGUGCCCGAGAUCGAUAUCGGAGAGAAUCGCGCACAAGAUAAGGACAAGAAGCCAAAGAUCGACAGAAUUCAAGCAGAAUCCUUAUCGCGAGCUGGAAUCUGCAUACGUGGCGCAGAUAUGCCUGACGUGGGAGGCGCUGAAUUGGAACUACAACUACUUCCAGCGGGUGCGGGCGUCGCGGCGCGAGUUCGACACGGGGUGCCCCGCCUACGUGGCGCAGCAGUUCCAGCAGUUCCAGGUGUUGCUUCAGCGCUACGUCGAGAACGAGCCCUACGAGCACGGCCGCAGGCCCGACAUCUACGCCAGGAUGAGGAGUUUGGCGCCUAAACUUCUUCAAGUUCCUGAAUAUCGAGGUAUCAUUCCAUUCUCCAAUUUCAUGCUAAAACUUGUCAAUUUCUUUUUACUUUUCCAAUUUCCCAUGCAUUAAUAAUUAAGAGAAAAAGAAAAUUUAGCUAAUGUUGAAUGCUUUUUCCACAAAUGUCCCACUCUGAUUUGGAAAACGCGGUCGAAAAAUCUCAGUGGGACAUAAUUAUCAGUAUAAGUGUGGAAUGUUAUUUAAAUUUAGUGGCUUGGUAGGACGGCACUUAUUCGGUAUUGUGUGAUAGAUUCUGAUCACGAUCAUGAGAAGAGAGAAGAGGGGCAGGGGUCGAGAAUCCCGUCGACUUCAUUUCUGCACAUCAUGGAAGAAUCGAUAAGAACGUUCAUGGAUUUCCUCAAACAAGACAAGAAGAAUCAUUAUCAAAUCCUCGCAGAUUUGUUCAAGCGAAACAGAAGGGGAUCCGCCGAUGCGACCCUCCUCCUCUUGCUAAAGAAAGUAAACAAAAAGGUAUAUAUUAGCUAAUCCUGAUCAUCUUCUUCAAAAACUAGCUCCCAUUAAAAAUGUGUUGAUGUUUGCAGAAAAAGGCGAAGCUGCACGAGCUGAGGCGGUCAGGGAAGUGCCUGAGGAAGAGGAAGCUCAAGGCGGAGGAGGAGAUAGCGAUCUUGAUGGCUCAAAUCGACCUCAAAAUCGUGUCAAGAGUGUUGAGAAUGGCGGAGUUGAAUGGUGACCAGCUGCAUUGGUGUGAAAACAAGAUGACCAAAGUUAGAGUCUCAGAUGGGAAACUGCAGAGAGAUUCUUCCCCACUUUUCUUCCCAGCUCAUUGAAUAAAAAAUUAACCAAGAAUAUUUCAUGACUAGAUGCUGAAUCUGCAUGCAUAUACUUUUCAUACUAUAAUACUUAACCUAACAUAUGCACUAUAUAUAUCCCACUAGAUACGUACACGGAAUAUAUAUUUUUUUAGUACGCUACGCACCCGAUGUAUAAUUCACCACUAUAUAAUCCUUUUUUCUGUAAUCGGAUGAAGAGCUACCGACGUGAUUGUGGGUCCCACGUGGUAAAGUGAAAGUUUGCAUGUGGUGGUGGGGUGGACGUAGGCUUUGAUGAGGAAGCAAAGAAUGAGAUGGGAAUGGGAUAGAGACAAUGUUAGCUUUAGCUAGCUACGUCGCUUUAUCUUUUUAUAAACAUGAAUAUUUAAUUGAAGGAGAAAAGCAAGGCUGCAAAAUAAAAUGGUGGGGGCGUUUCUGCAGAGGAUCCAUGGAUAGUAGGAUCACAUCAAAAGUAAUAAGGAUCUUAGCUAGUUUAUUUAAUUUAUUUGUUUUAGAGAUAUGGAAACUGAUAAGUCAUGUUUGACGUGUAGAUUGUACUUUAUGGUAUAUGCUUUUGUGGCAAUAAUGAGUUUGAAAUAUUAACAUAUUCGCAAUAAUGGUGUUUAAUGCUUCUACAAUUUGGGAGUUGUUCUCUGCAAAUUAUCAUAUUGAAUUCUCUAUUAUAACAGUUGUAUCUCUGUGAAUGAUUAUUAAAAGACAAGAAGUUUUUUAGUCUGUUGAAAUCUAUAGAAGAGUGUUCUCAAUUCUUCUAAAAUCUUCGUUUCGUCUCCCCAAAGCCCUGCAACUAGAGGCCGGACUUAUUGUCUCUCUCUGCAGGGAUCAAAUUAAUUUAUUCCAUACCUAAAAAGAUAUACUCCAUAUUUUAUUUUGAAAUAUUAUCAUCAUUUAUUUAUAGCAGAAUAACACAAAAUAAAAUAGGCAGAAGAGACUUCCAACUAUCAUUUCUAGACGACGUAUAUGGCUAGUGAGUGCACUGUGUUGCGGUUGGGCUAAUGAAACUUCAAAUUCAAAGGCUAAAUUAAAAGAAUAAUACUCCCUCCGUCCCAUUAAAGUUGGCCACAUUUCUAUUUUGGGUGUCCCACUAAAGUUGGCCACUUUCUAAAAAUGGCAAAAGUUUACUUUAAUUAAGUCAACAAUCAAUCACUAAUUUGGUCAACAAUUGUAGGCCACUUUCUAAAAAUGCCAAAAUUACUUUAAUUAAGUCAACAAUUACUCACUAAUUUGGUCAACAAUUGUAGGCCACACUCUAUUAAAACAUAUAACACUCAAUUUCUUAAUCUCCGUGCCGAAACAAAUGUGGCCAACUUUAAUGGGACGGAGGGAGUAUACAACAGCUAUUUCAGAUAGGUUGUUUGUGAACAAAAGAAAGUGGUUAAAAAUAAAAAAAUCAGCUAGUAUCUUACUAUUAUAUUACCAAUAAUUUCUUAUGCAAGAAAAACGAUAUAAGAGAGUAGACCUCCAGCACCACUAAAAUAUAUGCUACAGCCUACAGGGAUAAGGUAUACUUAUGCUAUAUUACCGUAUGUCGCCUCCUCUGUUUUUUCACCAACUGUUUUUGUAUACAUAUAUAUCGGCUAAACAUAAACAUCUGUAAAUAAAGAUGAUGAAGUGACUAAACAGAGACGCGUUACAAUUUAUUGGGCAAAGCAAUGAUUAAUUGUUCAUCAUAUUUAUCCUCAUACAUUCAAAUCCUAUUCCAUCGGAAGACAAAGAGAAUAGGAAAAUUCACAAAUUGGAUACGGAAAAGAAAAGAAAAGAUAAAGGCCUAACACAAACAUCACAUCCAUUCCAUUGGAAGAGACAAUGCUGCUUAGAAGCCCGGCGGCCUGUGGGCGAUGAAACUGAUGAUCUGCACCUGACGAACGUUGUCGAAUCCGAUGAUUCUGAUGAAGGCGUUGGGGUGAAGAGUGGAGCACUCGUCCAACUCCUUGAGCACCUGCACGGGGUCAGUGCAGCCGAACAUGGGCAGCUUCCACAUUGUCCAGUACCUUCCGUCGUAGUAUCCGGGAGAUCUGUUGUUGAAUCGGGAUAUGAAUCCAUCCUUCAACUCAAAUUCAAGGCAAGGAAUCAGGUUCUUGCGGAUCAGGUAUUCUACUUCCUUCAACAGUUGCUCCCUUGAUAGAGGGGGCAAGUACGACAACGUCUCGAACUUCUUCAGUCCCUCCGUCGGCCACACCUACAAAUCAUCAUCAUUUUUACAAUAUUACGUUCUUUACUUUCUCAAUCCGAAUUAGGCUUCAAAUUAUUCAAACCUGCAUGCAGGAGACUCUGCCGCCGUUGCUGGCGAUGCUGGUGAUGUCGCCGCUCUUGCGGCUGCCGGGGAAGGCGGAGGCGGACUUCAGCCCGGUGAAAGGAGCCACCAUGCUGGCUUGAGCAGGGGCGACGGUGGCAGCGGUGGAGAGCAUUGAGGAAGCCAUUUAAUCUCUCACACUGGAGUGGGGGGAUGUGUUAUCUCCCCCAACUUUUAUAGCGGCGUAGCCCGUUUCCUGGCCUCUCUCUGCUGAUUUUGAAGAUGAGGCUUCUAUUUCAUCUUCCAAGAUUUGGAAUUGGGUGGAUUUUGGACCGUCGGAUAUCAUCUGCGCUCAUAUUUCAAUUUAUUCAUACUCGAGAAAUUAUUUUUCUUACUUACUGUUGCAGGAUUUAAUUAUAAUUAAUCAAACUUCAAAUCAAAAAUGUAAAACCAUCUUCAAUAAUAAUAAUUGUAGACAAAAGCUACUUCAGAUAAAUUGUUUGUGAACAAAAGAAUAUACACUAACAUAAUAAAAAAGAUAACUUAUUAUUUUAUCAACUUCCUAUCCAAGGAGAAAGACAUAUAAGAGGGCACACCUCCAACACCACUAAAAUAUGGUAGUUGAUAAGGUAGUUGUGUGUCAAUUUGUUUAUGCUAUGUUUCGUGACAGAGAUAAUAUCUCAUUCUGAUCUUUUUCACAUAGUAAAAUAAAAUUAUAAUCAUAUAAUUAAAUAAAAAUAGUACUAGUAGUUAUUUUAAAUCAUUAUGCUCUUCUACACUUAUACAAUUUAUACAAAUUUUGUAUCUAAUUAAAAUUCGUGUAACCAAAAAUUGUAUAACCAAAAUUCGUGUAACAAUAUAAAUAAUAUUACUGUACAAAUUUUGACUACACACAAAAUUCGUGUAUAUUGUAUAAGCAUGUAAGAGCAUAAUAAUCCAAAAUGACUAUUAUUUUUAUAUUUUAUCUAUAUAACUAUAAUUUUCUAUUACUACAUGCUUUUGACUAGAUUAGGGUAUUGUCAUUUUGGUGAUAUAUCACCUCUACCAUUGUUUUACUAUAUUUCACCAACUAUUUUUGAAUCACCUAAACAUAUUGAGUCUUUGAUCUCUUGAGGUUAGUUAUUGUAAAAUCACAAUUUAAAUUGAGAACUGAGAAUACUGCACUAACGUACAAAGUUAUUGUAUUUGUCGUGAAAUUAAUUGUAUUAAAAAAAAUGGGAUUUUUUUUUAGAGUGGAUUUUGAAAAUAGCCACUUUCAUAUUGUAAAAUUAAAAAUUGUCCACUAAAAUAAAAACAUAAAAAAAUGGCCACUGUUACCAAAAUACCCUUCCACAUUAAAAAUUAAAAAAAUGGCCACUUUACAUCACUCCUUUAAAAAAUCCCGCAAUUCACAACCAGUGUGAAUUCACAACCAAAAUUUUUUGGUUGUGAAUUCACACUGGCUGUGAAUUGAGAAUUCACAAUCAGUCGAAUUCACAACCAGAAUUUUUUGUUUGUGAAUUCACAACUAGUCGAAUUCACAGCCAAAAUUUAAUUCACAACCAGUCGAAUUCACAACCAAAAUUUAAUUCACAACUAUAAUUUUUUGGUUACGAAUUCACAACCAGAUUUAUGUUGGUUGUGAAUUCACAAUCAGUCGAAUUCACAAUCUGAAUUUAAUUCACAACUAGAAUUUAUUUUGGUUGUGAAUUCAAGUAGUUGUGAAUUUGAGUUUUUAAAGUUUGAAUUCACAAUUAAAACUGUAAUUUAUUUUGNGGCAGACGUAGAGAGAGAAAUAGGAGAGAGAGAAAGAGAGAGACUGAGAGAGUACGGACACAGAGAGAGAAUUUUUUAUUUUUAUAGAGGGGUAUUUUUGUCUUUGUGCUAAAAAACUGGCUAAUUUUUUAUGUUUUUAUUUCAUAGGCUAGAUUUUAAUUUUACAAUAUGAAAUAGGCUAGAUUCAUAUAUUGACACUUUUUUUUAUGUCCACUAACGUACAAAUAUCAUUCCACUUAAUUCUACAAAAAUAAAAAUAAAUAAAUAAAGCAUAAUAGAUAACAAGUUCGUUCUUACAUGUUAGAGUAUAUUAUUUUUAUGUCCACAAGGGGACACCAAGCGGUGCAACCUCCUGUCUGUGAAUAGUGAGGUCCCUGGUUCAGACCGCACUGCUCCCCCUUCCCAACUCCCCCAAUUAAAAAAAAACAUAUUAUUUUUAUUGUAGCAACCAUAUAAUUAAUUCACAUAUAUAAAAAAUUUGUCCCGUAAUAAAAUUGUACCCCUUAAAUGUUCAAGCCACAUUUACAAUUCAAGUAAAUCAAGAAAAAAAAAGUAUAGCUGAUGAGGCCUAGCUCAAGUGCCAAAAUUGAGGCACCCAAAGACUCCAUUUUGUGAGAGGUCUUGGGUUCAAUUUCUGCUUGCGUGCAGGUAGUGUUCCCACCUUUGUGUGGGUAGUGGUUCCGCUUGCAUGCAUGCGGUUGUUUUCCCUCCCUCCGUCCCAUUAAAAAUAUCACUAGUAAAACACGAGAAUAACACAGAAAAUAAGGGAAUUUUUGUAUUAAAUAUAACGUAAAACUUUAAGUAAUUAAAAGCGUGUAAGUGAAGUCACAAUGCUUAUUACAUUAUAUUAGAUACCAUCUUGUAAUUCUAAAAAGAAAAAAAGAAAAAAACAGUAUAAACAUGUAUAUUUUGCAAAAGAGCAGUUAACAAUAAAUGUGUCUUGAAAGGAUAAAUACUAUAUUAAAAACUUGGAACUAUACAUGUUGUGCCCAAAAAUAUCACCUAUAACGAAAAGUAGUAAAACACGAGAAUAACACGGAAAAUAAGGGAUUUUUUGUAUUAAAUAUAAUGUAAGACUUUAAGUAAUUAAAAGCUUGAAAGUGAAGUCACAAUAGGGUUUUACAUGUAUUUACAGGAAAAAAUCUACGAAUUUUAGUAGGAAAAGAACUCAUUUUUGACUUAUAAUUGGACUAUAUAUAACUCUCAGUGUCUAUCUUGUAUAUUCAUUAUAAUCUUGAUCUUGAUCUUGAUCUUGAAUAGGCCGAGUGUUGUGGAUUCUUCGGGAUAGGGCUAGCUCGGCAAAAUUAGGAACAACGCUGUUUGUAGGGAAUUCGGCUUUCAACUCGUUGUAUUCUUCUAAUCUUAUGGGGAUGUAUAUUUUUAUCCUCGUCAAUACUCGUUUUAUUGAAAAUAUCCCGAACUAUAAGAAAUAAUAUCAUCUAAAACCCCAAACUAUUAAGUUCGUAUAAAAAAUAUUCCGCGUCCCGAGAUCGUGACGUGUUUCGUCGGAUGCCAACGUGUAAUUUGUAUAUUUGUUCAUUUAAUUGACAUGGCACAAAACAACAUCGUUUCGUACCAUGUCAUUUAAAAGAAUAAAAUCCAUGUUGGAAUUCAAAACUCUCCAAUCAACAAUGAUUUUUCUUUUAAAAGUGAAUUUUAAUUGCAGAAAAGCACUCUGAAAUCUUAUUGCAUUUUAAUAUUGAUAGUGUAUAUUGUGACGCCUUAAUUUUAUGAAGUAUUAUUGAUUUUAAAAAACCUCAUAUCGGUCUUGAAAUCUGGUGCUAUCAAACUUCUGAAAUCUUCAGCUAAUAAAAUCCCCAAAUCUUCAAAUUAAAUACUAAUGUGAUGCACAGACAUAGUCCAAUGACAUUGAUAUUUAAAAAAAAAAAAUUGAAGGAAGUGUAGGUAUAACUUACAAUCUCAAGACCUUAAACCUUUGCGCGUGCUACUCAUCGGAGGUUCAUCUUCUAAAGACAUUCGAGCAGUGUUAAUCUAGCAUAUGAACAAAAUGGAAUUUUUGAGCACUGGAUACUACAAGUAAAGAGAUAUACGACAACUCAACAUCACUCAGUGCCAAAGAGAACUGUUAACCUUGGCUAUCAAUAUCAUGAACAACCAUAAAUUAUCAAUAUUAAUACAUCUGCAUCCAAUAAUAUAUAUAUAUAAUCUUUGACGUUUUCGAUACAAAAGUGAAUAAUGGUGGAAAGUUCUCACCCCUUGCCCUUGCUGUUCAAGGCCAAGACUGCUCCCAACUACUGUUGCUAUCCCCAAACAUAUAUAUAUAUAUAUAUUCAGAAAGGCCUCGUGCUCCAUUGCAAUCAUGCAUGCCAACACAUGAAUCGCCAAAUGCUUCCCUCCAUCCUCACUCCAAAACCCUCAUUCUUCCUCAACCACAAUCACCACUCAACAACACCAAUUAAUCCUACUCUUCACCAUAAAAAUACUCAAUCAUCCAUUUUAUUAAUCAUGCAAACUAGCGUCAACAUUGACCGCUAUAUGCAGUCGUUUUUAGGUUUGACAACUCAAAUCACACUUAAAUUCAUUCAUCUUCUCAGUUGAAACGACGUAUUGUUCGGUGAAAAAAAGCUCAGAUAUCUCGCUCACAGCCGUUGUUUUUCUUUUUUCAACAUUUAAUAUUACUAAAUGAAACCUGCCACGUCUCAACAUUGCAGCGGAUCUCAUGCAUUGCAGGUCAUCCACAAUACAAUUAUUCGUUCGAAUCUAUACAACAGUCUUCUCAAUUCUUCCAAAAGGCCUGCAACCAGAGGCCGAACUUGUCUCUCUCUCUCUGCAGGGAUCAAAUUAAUUUAUUCCAUACCUAAAAGAAUACUCCACUAUAUUUUAUUUGGAAAUUUCAUCAUAAUUUAUUUAUAACAGAAUAAGACAAAAUAAAAUAGGCAGAAGAGACUUCCAACAUGCAGAUGGGCAAAUGAAACUUCAAAUUUAAAGGCUCAAAUAAUUGUAUAUAUAUAUAUAUAUACAACAGCUAUUACAGAUAGGUUGUUUGUGAACAGAUGUAAAAAGAAAAAUCAGCUAAUAGUAUUAUAUUAACAAUUUCUAAUCCAAGGAAAAAGAUAGACCUGAUCCAGCACCACUAAAAUAUACUGUGACUACAGUCUACAACAGGGAGAAGGUAUACUUAUGCUGUAUUACCGUAUGCCGCCUCCCCUGUUUUUUCACAAACUAUUUUUGUAUAUAUAUCGGCUAAAUAUAAACAUUUGUAAAUAAAGAUGAUGAAGUGACUAAACAGAGACGCGUUACAAUUUAUUGGGCAAAGCAAUGAUUAAUUGUUCAUCAUAUUUAUCCUCAUACAUUCAAAUCCUAUUCCAUCAGAAGACAAAGAGAAUAGGAAAAUUCACAAAUUGGAUACGGAAAAGAAAAGAAAAGAUAAAGGCCUAACACAAACAUCACAUCCAUUCCAUUGGAAGAGACAAUGUUGCUUAGAAGCCCGGUAGCCUGUGGGCGAUGAAACUGAUGAUCUGCACCUGACGAACGUUGUCGAAUCCGAUGAUUCUGAUGAAGGCGUUGGGGUGAAGAGUGGAGCACUCGUCCAACUCCUUGAGCACCUG
rnacentral:lncRNA from 1 species